rnacentral:rRNA from 1 species
AAUGGGGGAAACCCUGACGCAGCAACGCCGCGUGAAGGAUGAAGGUCUUCGGAUUGUAAACUUCUUUGAUGAGGGAAGAAAAAUGACGGUACCUCAAAAACAAGCCACGGCUAACUACGUGCCAGCAGCCGCGGUAAUACGUAGGUGGCAAGCGUUGUCCGGAAUUACUGGGUGUAAAGGGCGUGUAGGCGGGGAUGCAAGUCAGAUGUGAAAUUCCGAAGCUCAACUUCGGCGCUGCAUCUGAAACUGUAUCUCUUGAGUGCUGGAGAGGAAAGCGGAAUUCCUAGUGUAGCGGUGAAAUGCGUAGAUAUUAGGAGGAACACCAGUGGCGAAGGCGGCUUUCUGGACAGUAACUGACGCUGAGGCGCGAAAGCGUGGGGAGCAAA